AUACGUAGGGGGCGAGCGUUGUCCGGAAUGAUUGGGCGUAAAGGGCGCGUAGGCGGCGCGGUAAGUCUGGAGUGAAAGUCCUGCUUUCAAGGUGGGAAUUGCUUUGGAUACUGCCGCGCUUGAGUGCAGGAGAGGUUAUCGGAAUUCCCGGUGUAGCGGUGAAAUGCGUAGAGAUCGGGAGGAACACCAGUGGCGAAGGCGGGUAACUGGACUGCAACUGACGCUGAGGCGCGAAAGUGUGGGGAGCAAACAGGAUUAGAUACCCUGGUAGUCCACACUGUAAACGAUGAAUGCUAGGUGUAAGAGGUAUCGACCCCUUUUGUGCCGGAGUCAACACAAUAAGCAUUCCGCCUGGGGAGUACGGCCGUAAGGUUGAAACUCAAAUGAAUUGACGGGG
rnacentral:rRNA from 1 species